AGCGGUGAUAGUUUUGUCUGGCAUCAUCACACAAAAGUAGGGCAAAGUUAUCACCGAUUA
rnacentral:pre_miRNA from 1 species